rnacentral:rRNA from 1 species
AUUGAACGCUGGCGGCAUGCCUUACACAUGCAAGUCGAACGGUAACGCGGGGUAACCUGGCGACGAGUGGCGAACGGGUGAGUAAUGCAUCGGAACGUGCCCAGUAGUGGGGGAUAGCCCGGCGAAAGCCGGAUUAAUACCGCAUACGACCUACGGGUGAAAGGGGGGGAUCGAAAGACCUCUCGCUAUUGGAGCGGCCGAUGUCAGAUUAGGUAGUUGGUGGGGUAAAGGCCUACCAAGCCUACGAUCUGUAGCUGGUCUGAGAGGACGACCCGCCACACUGGGACUGAGACACGGCCCAGACUCCUGCGGGAGGCAGCAGUGGGGAAUUUUGGACAAUGGGCGCAAGCCUGAUCCAGCCAUGCCGCGUGCGGGAAGAAGGCCUUCGGGUUGUAAACCGCUUUUGUCAGGGAAGAAAAGCUCCGAGUUAAUACCUCGGGGUAAUGACGGUACCUGAAGAAUAAGCACCGGCUAACUACGUGCCAGCCGCCGCGGUAA